rnacentral:lncRNA from 1 species
GACAACACAAUCAAUCAAUCACCAAAACCUCGUCAAUGUUCAAGAAAAACUCCAAAGAUUCCAACAAUAUUCUAAUGGACUGACCUUAGAGGUACAGCCUUCCCCAGCUCUUCAUCAUCUUCGUGUGAAUCGUGAGCUUCUUUAGCACUAAGAGCUUCCGCCAAAUUUUGAUGACUCCAAGUCAGGGAAGGAAACACACUGAAACCAGAGCAAGACAAAUGAGUCAUUGUUUG